GGCUCAGAGUGAACGCUGGCGGCGUGCCUAAUACAUGCAAGUCGAACGAUGAAGCUUCUAGCUUGCUAGAAGUGGAUUAGUGGCGCACGGGUGAGUAAUGCAUAGGUAACAUGCCCUUUAGUCUGGGAUAGCCACUGGAAACGGUGAUUAAUACUAGAUAUUCCCUACGGGGGAAAGUUUUUCGCUAAAGGAUUGGCCUAUGUCCUAUCAGCUUGUUGGUGAGGUAAUGGCUCACCAAGGCUAUGACGGGUAUCCGGCCUGAGAGGGUGAUCGGACACACUGGAACUGAGACACGGUCCAGACUCCUACGGGAGGCAGCAGUAGGGAAUAUUGCUCAAUGGGGGAAACCCUGAAGCAGCAACGCCGCGUGGAGGAUGAAGGUUUUCGGAUUGUAAACUCCUUUUGUUAGAGAAGAUAAUGACGGUAUCUAACGAAUAAGCACCGGCUAACUCCGUGCCAGCAGCCGCGGUAAUACGGAGGGUGCAAGCGUUACUCGGAAUCACUGGGCGUAAAGAGCGCGUAGGCGGGGUAGCAAGUCAGAUGUGAAAUCCUAUGGCUUAACUAUAGAACUGCAUUUGAAACUGUUACUCUAGAGUAUGGGAGAGGUAGGUGGAAUUCUUGGUGUAGGGGUAAAAUCCGUAGAGAUCAAGAGGAAUACUCAUUGCGAAGGCGACCUGCUGGAACAUUACUGACGCUGAUGCGCGAAAGCGUGGGGAGCAAACAGGAUUAGAUACCCUGGUAGUCCACGCCCUAAACGAUGAAUGCUAGUUGUUGUGAGGCUUGUCCUUGCAGUAAUGCAGCUAACGCAUUAAGCAUUCCGCCUGGGGAGUACGGUCGCAAGAUUAAAACUCAAAGGAAUAGACGGGGACCCGCACAAGCGGUGGAGCAUGUGGUUUAAUUCGAGGAUACGCGAAGAACCUUACCUAGGCUUGACAUUGAUAGAAUCUACUAGAGAUAGUGGAGUGCCCUUCGGGGAGCUUGAAAACAGGUGCUGCACGGCUGUCGUCAGCUCGUGUCGUGAGAUGUUGGGUUAAGUCCCGCAACGAGCGCAACCCUCGUCCUUAGUUGCUAGCAGUUUGGCUGAGCACUCUAAGGAGACUGCCUUCGUAAGGAGGAGGAAGGUGAGGACGACGUCAAGUCAUCAUGGCCCUUACGCCUAGGGCUACACACGUGCUACAAUGGGGUGCACAAAGAGAUGCAAUACUGUGAAGUGGAGCCAAUCUCAAAAACAUCUCUCAGUUCGGAUUGUAGUCUGCAACUCGACUACAUGAAGCUGGAAUCGCUAGUAAUCGUGAAUCAGCCAUGUCACGGUGAAUACGUUCCCGGGUCUUGUACUCACCGCCCGUCACACCAUGGGAGUUGUAUUUGCCUUAAGUCGGAAUGCUAAACUGGCUACCGCCCACGGCAGAUGCAGCGACUGGGGUGAAGUCGUAACAAGGUUAACC
rnacentral:rRNA from 1 species